rnacentral:rRNA from 1 species
CAGUCGCGUCUGCUGGGACUCAGCCUUGCUUCUGCUUGGUGCACUUCUCAGUAGAUGGGCCAGCAUCAAUUUGGUCGUCAUAAAAUGACUGGAGGAAUGUAGCUUCGAUCUUGUAUUGAAGUGUUAUAGCCUUUGGUAGAUGUGAUUAUCGGGAUUGAGG